GAGGCACUCGAGUUCACUCCCAACCCCAAUGUGAACGUUACCAAUCUGUUGCCUCGGCGGGAUUCUCUUGCCCCGGGCGCGUCGCAGCCCCGGAUCCCAUGGCGCCCGCCGGAGGACCAACUCCAAACUCUUUUUUUCUCUCCGUCGCGGCUCCCGUCGCGGCUCUGUUUUACUUUUGCUCUGAGCCUUUCUCGGCGACCCUAGCGGGCGUCUCGAAAAUGAAUCAAAACUUUCAACAACGGAUCUCUUGGUUCUGGCAUCGAUGAAGAACGCAGCGAAAUGCGAUAAGUAAUGUGAAUUGCAGAAUUCAGUGAAUCAUCGAAUCUUUGAACGCACAUUGCGCCCGCCAGUAUUCUGGCGGGCAUGCCUGUCCGAGCGUCAUUUCAACCCUCGAACCCCUCCGGGGGGUCGGCGUUGGGGAUCGGCCCCUCACCGGGCCGCCCCCGAAAUACAGUGGCGGUCUCGCCGCAGCCUCUCCUGCGCAGUAGUUUGCACACUCGCACCGGGAGCGCGGCGCGGCCACAGCCGUAAAACACCCCAAACUUCUGAAAUGUUGACCUCGGAUCAGGUAGGAAUACCCGCUGAACUUAAGCAUAUCAAUAAAGCGGAAGAA
rnacentral:rRNA from 1 species